rnacentral:rRNA from 1 species
CGAACGAUUAAAGCCCCUUCGGGGGUGUAUAAAGUGGCGAACGGGUGAGUAACAGGUGGAUAACCUACCUCUUGGCGGGGGACAACAGUUGGAAACGACUGCUAAUACCGCAUACGAUUGCGAGCACUUCGGUGCAUGCAAGGAAAGGCGCGUUUGCGCCGCCGAGAGAUGGGUCCGCCCCCCAUUAGCUUGUUGGUGAGAUAAAAGCUCACCAAGGCUUCGAUGGGUAGCCGGACUGAGAGGUUGGCCGGCCACACUGGGACUGAGACACGGCCCAGACACCUACGGGUGGCAGCAGUAGGGAAUAUUGGACAAUGGGCGAAAGCUUGAUCCAGCCAUGCCGCGUGGACGAUGAAGGCCUUCGGGUUGUAAAGUCCUUUUAUAGGGGAAGAACAUCCUGGUGAGGAAAUGCACCAGGCCUGACGGUACCCUAUGAAUAAGCAACGGCUAACUCCGUGCCAGCAGCCGCGGUAAUACGGAGGUUGCAAGCGUUGUUCGGAUUUACUGGGCGUAAAGGGAGCGCAGGCGGCUUGGUCAGUCUAAAGUGAAAUCCCGGGGCUCAACCCCGGAAGUGCUUUGGAUACUGCCAGGCUUGAGUACGUGAGAGGUGAGCGGAAUUCCAGGUGUAGCGGUGAAAUGCGUAGAUAUCU